AUCCAUUUGUGGUUCAUAAGCGUGAUGAUUGAGCUUUCACACACAUGUGAGAUGUGCCUCACUCAGUCCUUGUUAUGAUGUCAGCAUAUUACCCAUCUGACG
rfam:Gorilla gorilla gorilla genomic chromosome, chr7, whole genome shotgun sequence